AUAGUUAACAGUUUUUUUUCUAUACAUAACGGUAUGAAACCGUUAUCUAUAAUGCUUAUACAUAACGAUUUAUUACCGUUAUGUAUGAGGAUUUUUCCGUUAUGUUUUGUAUUUUUUUGUUUUUUUCUAUCAUAGUUAACAGUUUUUUUUACUUUUUAUAACGGUUUUUACCGUUAUCUUUGAUAGAAAUACAUAACGAUUUUUUUGUACUUUUUAUACUGUUAUGUAUUUCAACUACAACUAGCAUAUUUAAUAUUUUUUCUCGAUUUUUAUGUUAUUUAUCUCAAGAAAUAAAUAAAUAACUUUAAAACAACAAAAUGAUAAAAUCACCAAUAACAAUAUUAUAUAUCAUCCAAAAUAUUCAUACAU
rnacentral:lncRNA from 1 species